rnacentral:rRNA from 1 species
GUCGAACGAAGUAGCAAUACUUAGUGGCAGACGGGUGAGUAACAUGUGGGUAUCUGCCCUUUGGCCUGGAAUAACACGAGGAAACUUGUGCUAAUACCGGAUAAGUCUUUACGGAGAAAGCUUUAUGCACCAUUGGAUGAGCCUGCACUUGAUUAGUUUGUUGGUGGGGUAAUGGCCUACCAAGACUGUGAUCAAUAGCUGAUUUGAGAGGAUGAUCAGCCACAUUGGGACUGAGACACGGCCCAAACUCCUACGGGAGGCAGCAGUGGGGAAUCUUGCACAAUGGAGGAAACUCUGAUGCAGCGAUGCCGCGUGAGUGAAGAAGGCCCUUGGGUUGUAAAGCUCUUUCGUCGGGGAAGAAAAUGACUGUACCCGAAUAAGAAGGUCCGGCUAACUUCGUGCCAGCAGCCGCGGUAAUACGAAGGGACCUAGCGUAGUUCGGAAUUACUGGGCUUAAAGAGUUCGUAGGUGGUUGAAAAAGUUAGUGGUGAAAUCCCAGAGCUUAACUCUGGAACUGCCAUUAAAACUUUUCAGCUAGAGUAUGAUAGAGGAAAGCAGAAUUUCUAGUGUAGAGGUGAAAUUCGUAGAUAUUAGAAAGAAUACCAAUUGCGAAGGCAGCUUUCUGGAUCAUUACUGACACUGAGGAACGAAAGCAUGGGUAGCGAAGAGGAUUAGAUACCCUCGUAGUCCAUGCCGUAAACGAUGUGUGUUAGACGUUGGAAAUUUAUUUUCAGUGUCGCAGGGAAACCGAUAAACACACCGCCUGGGGAGUACGACCGCAAGGUUAAAACUCAAAUGAUUUGACGGGGACCCGCACAAGUAGUGGAGCAUGUGGUU